UUAACUUAUGGCAAUAUACUUGUUUUGCAUCAGUGCAAUAACAAUCCAUUUUCUUUUGUAACAGGAUGCAAUUGUAGAAACUGGUUGGUUGUUUUACCAAGGCUUUGACUGGAAAGUUGUGCUUCCCUUUAAAGAAUCAAGCUUGAUAUGCAGACCCAAUAAAAGCCCCUUGAGAAAACUGGCCUUCAUACCUUGUCAACACAGUCCUGUAUAGGGUUCUUAACCUGUGAGUAUCCUCAUUCUUCUUGGGCAUGGUACAAGAACUCAGGAACCACCAAACAUGAUACAAGCUAUAACACAGGCCAGUUGGGGCAUGCCAGCAUGGCCGAGUGGGACCCAGGUGGAGCACUGCCAGCUGGGGCUCCCUGCUCUGCAACGUGACUGAGAAUAAAAAUCCUACAUUGGUUUUACGUAACAGAAGGUGAACAUCUGAUAAGAAAGGGUGACAAAAGGAAAAGUCAACCAUGCAGAUGUCUCUGGGUAUGUGGGGGAGUGACUGGUCUCACCUUGACUUUAUUCUGCACCUGGGCAGGUGGGUUUGUAAUUGACACGACCAGUGUGCAACUGAACAGACUUUAGUUUUAGGAGCUGGACUUAGACUGCAGUCCUAAAGUUUCAAUUGGCCUGUCCUCAUUCAUGAGAGGCCAGCAGAGAAUUCACGCAGGGAUCAUCUGUGUGGGCAGCUUUUCCAGAUGCCUGAGGCCUUUCCCAUUCUCUUUGGGUCUGGCUGAUACAUGAUGUUAGUGACAGUCAAUUCAUUUGGAAGAGGGAGUGCAAUGACUUUCCCUUUUGCAUAAGAAGUUUUGGGGGUACUGAGAUUUUUAGUUUCCUUUACAAGACCUUCCCGCAAAUAAGUACAAGAGGACCCAGAGUGUGGGGUGUCUGGCUGUCUGAGCAGUUGGGCCACUGACGCUGAGGACAAUGUGAGAAAGCCUGUCCUGGUGGAAGGGAGAGCAAAGGUGGAGAGAAAGGAAGCUCCAUGUUAGUUUUUGAAACACACCACAGCUGAAGGUCAGUCCCCAAAGCUGGUUAUGGUUGAAAGGGAGGAAAAGCUGCUCCCACGUGGCUCUGGCUGAGGCUUCCGAGACUCUGCAGGUGGGGGCCGUCUGUCUUCCCCAGGUGGGAGCUACUUCUUUUUAGAAGCAGGCUCCACGGCGGUUUUCAGGUGUGGCCUUGCCCAGCGUCCCGAUGUUUUGCUUCCUGCCUGGCCUCGGCGCUCUUUGAUGACCUCCUCUUGCCACACACUGUGGUCUCCAUAGGCUGCCCACUGCUGAUCCGAGGCUGGUGGCCCCCAGCACACGUGGGUUUCUGAGGAACACGCUGAGACUCUCGGGCCAUGCCGUGACACAGGGGAGACAGCGUCUGCUCUUUUUCCAUUUUUGUUCGUUUUCAGUGCUCUGACCCUCAGGAAGCCCACUUAAGCAUCCCAGAAUCCAGACGGCCGUGAACAAAGCUGCUGUGGUUUGGGGCUGCAAAACUGGCCCACAGCCCACCUGGAUAACUGAAUCGAACAUGCCUCAGCCGCCCUCACCACAGGCACCAUCCCCCUCACAGAAGUUUGAUGUCUGAUCAUUCAGCACUGGCUGAGCCUCAGAGCUAAAAUGGAAAAUGCAUUUUAUGAGCAGAUAACACAUUUUUGGAAUGGCUACUUUAAACAUUGUGGAUACAGAUUCACAGAGACUAUUUUUAGAUGAAUUAUUUCUUCUAUUUACCAUACUGAUUUGCUGGAAGAAAGAAAAACAAUAUUUUAAAAAGGGAAAACAUUCUUUAAAAGCAGUGACUCUAAAUUUCCCCUGAAGAGCAAAAUGCUGUCUGUGUCUCACUCAAUGUGGUGGCUGCUACAGGAGGAUCUUCCCAGGCCUUCUCAGGGAAUUCCCAUCAGGAUCACAGGAAUGGUACCUGGCAGACACAACCCAGUCUGCACCUUCCAUGGGCCACAGCUGAUGGUACGAGGAGAGGUGUGACAUCUGCCUGACCUCAGCUCUGGGGGUUCCUGUGGGUGGACAGAAGGAGCCCUGGAGGCCCGGCCAGGAUGCGUCAUCUGUGGCUACCACGUGGAUUCUCUGGUGUGCUGAGUCAAGGCAGCGAUCUUCCAAGUGUGGUCGCUGUACCUCCAUCAGCACCUCCUGGGACUUGUCAGGACGCUGACCCGGGCCCCAGCCAAGUUCUGCUGCUGCCUCAGGGGGACAGAGGCAGGGCCUCACUGUCUGAUGAUCCAGCCCUGCAGGGGGCCCGCUGCACCUGCAGGUGUGAGAGCCGCCGCUGAAUUAAGGUGACUGGAAGGUUUCAGGGCAUGGGAGGGAGGUAGAUCAUUUGGGGCUGAGAAGCACUUUUGCAUCUCUUUCCUGCCCAGAAGCGACCAGAGAGGCCAGGCAUUGUCACCUGGAGACUUUGGAAAUGAAGCCCUGAGCUGAUCUAAUAAUUUCUGGCAAAUUCUAUGGGGUUGCUUCAUGAAUUAGGAAAAGCCAUAGAAACUCAAGUGUAAAUCGUGUGUUAUAUCCCAGGGCCGCGCGCUUAAUGUGGACUGUGGAGCUUGUACGCAGCCUGUCACACCCUGCCAGCCUCAAUACGGCUCUCCUUACCCCGGGCCUCUGCACGCACAUAUGAAAGGCAACCUCACCUCUGUGGCUUGCAUGGUUCAGCGAUUCAUACUGUGUUAGUAUUCCUAAUCUAUUUCUAAGUAACUUAAUUUUUCUCGAAAAUAGUAAUUUAAAAUGUUGUCCAUAUAGAUGAAUAACAAUCAGAAAACUUUCCUUAGGGAUGCUAAAACAUCAUUAAUUAGCAAUAAAACAAAUUUAAGUUUUAUGAGCUGUCGUGGCAUUUAUCAUUCUGUAAGAUUGCAAACAUAGUUUUCCAUAGAUGUCAUAAUUCAUUAAGAGAAGUGGUGAAAUUUGGAUGUGUUUGAAAGAACAAGGAACUAGAUUAAACACCCUCUGCUGCACCGCAGGGGCUGACGAGGGAAGACAUAGGUGGUGUCUGAAACGUUCUGUGGCUACAGAGUCCUCUUUCAUAUCCUUCCUUUAGGGAGAGACUCGGGAGAGACUCAGAAGAGAGGUGUUUUCCGGCAAUAGCAGAGCAUAGGAACCUCUUGAUAGACCACUGAGAUGAGUCAGCAUCGGCAGCCUGCACAGGGUGGUGGGGUGGGCUGGGGCCUCAGUGAGUGGGGUGCAGACAGGGGCUUCUCUCCACCUGCCAAGAUUCCACUCAAAUGCUGCGUCUCCCUGAAGCCCCUCCCAUCUUCACAGACCUUCAUUUAACACUUACUGAAGGGUAGAUGGUUGUAUAGCUCACUGAGGUGUCUGACUCCCUGACCAGACUGUGGGACUCUUCAGAAUGAAACAGACUUUUCCUUCUUUAUUUUCCCCGUUUCUAACUUAGUCAUGCACAGAAUAAACGCUUGGUAAGACUCUACUGAAUGAUGAUACUUCUCCAGGACGAAGGUGCCUGUGAAGAAUGGGAAGGCCUGGUGCCGUAGUGUCUUAGAUUCUGAUAUGCCACAUGUCCUGCUUAUCACCCUGAAGUCUCAAAAGAUAAUCAACUUGUUAAACACUGUGCUUUGUACCUACUUCAUUUUUUAAAGAGCUUUUAUUUUGACUGUUGGACAUCACGGUUAUUCUUCCUGAACUCAGCCCUGAUAGUGCAGUGCCCCAGUACAAGUCCCUGGCACAUUGGCCUGGAGUUUAAGGCUCUGCAUACCCCACCCGGGCAUCCUGCUUCCCCUGCACAAUCGCUUUGCUGGAUCAGUGCUAGCUGGGUCUGUCUCUCCAGCGCUUUAGAAGCCGCCCUCCUGCUGUGUCUUCGCUCAUUCUGUUCCCUUCUCCCGGUCCCCCACUGUUUGCUGCUUUGCUUUUUAUUUCUCAAGGCUCAGUUCAAAAGCCACCAUUUCCACCAAGACGUGGUGACCUCAACUGGAUUGGAGACAACGCCUCUCCCCAGCUCCUCUGGAAUAUGGUUCUGUCCUCUGAGCCUGGUAUCGGCGUCGAUGCUGUCUACAUGCGCUGCUGGCUGGUCGCCUACUGGAUGUGUCUGCCCGCUGGGGGAAGGAACCAGGCCCUGGAAUGGGAUCCUGAGUAGGAGCACAGUCUGGAUAUUCCUGCAGGAGUGAAGAGACAUUCUCAGGGCGGAUGUUGCCAGGACAAAGAAACACAAGCAACAACAAGAACAAAACUGGAGUUGUCUCUCUCACAACUCAAGUGGAGCCUGAGGAAUAACAAGAGCUCAUUAAAUAUCUGUUGCAUGAAUGAGUGAAUAAAUGAAGGGAGGACUUUUAUGAAAACACUUCUUUACAUCUGGAAAUGUUACCCCCACGUUUUCUGGCAUCUGAUGUUGCUGCAAAUGUGAAGCCAAGGAGACCCUCCAGGAUGCCCAAGCCUGGGAGAAAUCCUGAUGACUGGGGGUUGGAAAAGAAGCAUGACACAUAAGAAAUGUUAGUUCUCUAUUCUUAUCAUUGAUUAUCAGAGUAGAUUAACCAUAAAACUAACAAUGCUGAAACUUGAGGACCUUCCCCAGAACUGCUGGGCCUCCAGCAGCAUGAUGCAUAGGUUUUUGUGAAAUUUUCAAAAGAUUUUUAACUGCAAUCAGCAAAAACGAUUGUCUCUCUCAGUCCAACUUCCCAGCAGUCAAAUUUCCCACAGUGGCAAAUGAUGUCAGAAUUGCUACAGCAUCUUUUGAGUCUGUCUAAGGGGAAGUAGAGCCAUGGGUGCAUUUGGUUCAGAGUUAGUGGAGUACGUGUAUAUGGUCAUAGUCACUUCUGUGUUCUGAUAGUGAAAUGGUUUUGAAAACUACUCCAAUAACCCACUCUGCUGACUUACCCAGCAUCUUGGUGUUGCAGGAAAUCAGGGACCCCGAAUGGAGGGACUGGCUGGAGCCGCGGCAGAGGAAC
rnacentral:lncRNA from 1 species